CGGCUGGACAACUUGACCUUGGUGACUUGAAGGACCCGACUCCCCUCGUGGUGCAUGUUGUCAUUAAAAGAUCAGGACUAAAGGUGCUAAAUGGUGCUUGGUUCCGGGAGCAUUUCAUUGGCUUUGAACUGCGAUUCCUCCAUUAGAACGGCUGGAUAACUUGACCUUGGUGACUUGAUGGACCUGACUGCUUGUGGCAUACGUUGUCAUUGCAAAGAUCAGGACUGAGGGUGUUGGUGCUUAGCAGCGGUGUGGCAGAGGAGAAAUUAUGAACCUGCACCACAGGAGCCGAGAACUGGAGGUGGGCAAACUGGUCCGACUCUACAGCCGGCAGCGGAGGAAGGGGUGCUGCGCGAAACUGGACAGCCGCUGGGUAGGCCACGG